UCGUGGGUGACUGCGAAUCUGGAGGAAGCCGAGGGCAAAGCGCUGGCCUGACGAACAAGAAGCGGAUAUGAGGCGGCACGGCGGGGUAAGGCGGCCAUUAUCGUCGAAGUCCGUGUUAGACGACAAUUAACCUGUCCGGUCAGGCGACAAUUAUCUUGAC
rnacentral:misc_RNA from 1 species